rnacentral:snRNA from 1 species
GUGCUCGCUUUGGCAGCAUAUAUACUAACACUGGAAUGAUACAGAGAAGAUUAGCAUGGCCCCUGGGCAAGGAUGACACACAAAUUCAUGAAGCAUUCCAGAUUUUG